CCGACGAUGGUGAAGGUGCUGCCGAGGGGGCCGCUGCGGACGUCCUCGGCGCGCCAGUCGGCGUCCGGGUCGCCGUCGGCGGA
rnacentral:tRNA from 2 species